AUUGAACGCUGGCGGCAGGCUUAACACAUGCAAGUCGAGCGAGCGGCGGACGGGUGAGUAAUGUCUGGGAAACUGCCUGAUGGAGGGGGAUAACUACUGGAAACGGUAGCUAAUAACGCAUACCAUCAGUUGUGCGCAGAUGGGAUUGGCUAGUAGGUGGGGUAAUGGCUCACCUGGGCGACGAUCCCUAGCUGGUCGGAGAGGAUGACCAGCCACACUGGAGCUUGUCCUCGGUCUAGACGCCUACGGUACGCAGCAGUGGGUAAUAUUGCACAAGUGGCGCAAGCCUGAUGCAGCCAUGCCGCGUGUGUGAAGAAGGCCUUCGGGUUGUAAAGCACUUUCAGCGAGGAGGCGUUACUCUCGGAAGAAGCACCGGCUAACUCCUUGCCAGCAGCCGCGGUAAUAC
rnacentral:rRNA from 1 species